ACUGAUAAUUAGGUACUUUUAUGAUACAUUCAUGAUAGCUUGCAAUUUUUCGGUCGAUAUUUAAGAAUUCCACCAUGCUGAUAAUAAUGUAGUUUUGUUUAUUUGUUGUUUCUUUUUUGAGGGCCAGUUUAUAUGUACUUAGGUAGGGACCAACCAACUGAAAAGUUACAAAUUAAAAAUAACUAAACAUGAAAAGAAUGUUGAAUAUUAAAAUCUUAAUAGCUUUGAACGCAGUAGAAGCAUCAGCACUGAAACGAGCCAGAGAGGACCACCGACGAUACUCGGAGGACAGAGGUCCGAAGCACGGUGACAUCCUCGACCAUACGGGAAGGAGCACUGUGUAUAAGGCGAGUGAAAUGAUAAAGUCUCUUGCUACCUUAACUUCAAAACACAAACAAUCAGUUUAAGUUUUUGAUGGAGGGAAAAUCAAAGUUUCAUCACAUGGAGGAAGAAUUGAAACUUACCGGAUCUGAACAACUAACACUUGCUACACGAGGUUACAAGAUGAUAAAGAAAGUUAACGAAGGGUCGUAUGCGAAGGUGUAUCUGGCCGAAUACAGGAAUCCGACCAAAAACGAUAAACUAUCGAUAUUAGCAUGCAAAGUAAUUGACACUAACACCGCACCCAAGGACUUCGUCAAGAAGUUUCUACCCAGAGAAAUCGAUAUGUUGAUCAAGUUAAACCACCCACACCUCGUACAUACUCACAGCAUAUUUCAAAGAAGAUACAAAUAUUUCAUUUUCAUGCGGUAUAUGGAGCACGGAGACUUGCUCGAGUACAUUCUGCAGAAGGGCGCCGUUCAGGAAGACCAGGCGCGAAUAUGGGCAAGACAGCUCGCUCUAGCCGUACAAUACAUGCACGAACUUGAAAUAGCUCACCGGGAUAUAAAGUGUGAAAAUGUUCUGCUUACCGCUAACCAAAAUGCUAAGUUGUCCGACUUUGGCUUUGCUCGUAGUUGUGUCGAUAAAUCGCUUAAAGAUAUUCACAGUGAAACGUUUUGUGGCUCGCUAUCUUAUACUGCUCCAGAAAUAUUGCAAGGUGCUCCGUACUAUCCUAAGCCGACAGAUGUGUGGUCGCUGGGAAUCGUAGUCUAUGUUAUGCUGAAUAGAGCAAUGCCGUUCGAAGACAAACAUAUCAAGCAAUUGUUUCAAGCACAAAUUAACAGAAAUUGGAAAUUCCGUUCGCGGUACAUAGAUUCUCUUUCAGAAAAUUGUAAACGUUUAGUUACCCUAAUGUUGGAACCAAACUAUCAAAAUAGGAUAAAAAUCGACCAUAUUAUAAACAGCGAAUGGAUAGCCAUGGACUCAAGAUUAUUAGAAUGGACACCUCAAGAGACAUUAGCGUACAAAAAGGCCAAAGAAGAAAAACAACAGUUAAGAAAGGAACUGGAGAACGCAGAGGGGGGCAAAUCAGAUAAAGAUAUUUCCAAUAUACCUGAAACAUCUAUAGUGAAGGCCAAUGUUGACGUAAACGCUUCGUCAACGUCCUGUACAACCCACAACAGUCCAAUAAAAAUGAAUAUCUAUAAUCCAUAACACUUUUCCUACCGUAUAUAAUUAUGCUACCUAUAAAAGUGAAAAUGAAGUAAAAUAUUCAAGAAUGCUGUAAUAUAAAUGGGUCCUGCUACAGACAAGGUAGACCUUAGCACAACACAAUCUGAUCUUAUGGUGUUACAAGAAAAAGGAUUUAUAUUAGAGAAAAUGAUCGGAGAAGGUUCUUACGCUAAGAAAACGGCGAUUUACUAGAUUUUUUGACACAAAACGGUGCUGUGCCAGAGAACCAAAGCAGACUAUGGAUGAGGCAGAUUUUAUCAGGAAUUCACUACAUACACACGAUGAACAUAGCACAUAGAGAUUUAA
rnacentral:misc_RNA from 1 species